UACGUAGGAGGCGAGCGUUGUCCGGAUUUACUGGGCGUAAAGCGCGUGUAGGCGGUUCGAUUAGUCUGCUGUGAAAGCUCGCGGCUUAACCGCGAGAGGUCGGUGGAUACUGUCGGACUUGAGGACGGUAGAGGGGGGUGGAAUUCCCGGUGUAGUGGUGAAAUGCGUAGAUAUCGGGAGGAACACCAGUGGCGAAGGCGGCCCCCUGGGCCGCUCCUGACGCUGAGACGCGAAGGCCAGGGUAGCGAACGGG
rnacentral:rRNA from 1 species